AAUAACCAAUAUAACACUUGGGCUAAGUGUCAGGUUGGUUAUUUUUCUUACAUCUCUGCCACCGGGGGCCCAGGUAACAUAUAUGCCUCCAAAAUAAAGAGCAGAGCAUUGAACACUAGGAGAAAAGGCGCCUACACCUAAUAAGAUUAAGUGAAUACCGAAAAUAGUUGUCAUUUCAUUUCUAUCUUUCCA
rnacentral:antisense_RNA from 1 species